AUGUUGGAACACUUGCUCUCGUACGAUCACCGAUGUUAAGUAACGUCGAGCCUGGUCAUUAACUAGAUGGGUGACCGCUUUGGAAUACCAGGUGUUGUAAG